GCUGGGUGUGGUGGUGCACGCCUGUAAUCCUAGUUACUAGGAAGGCUGAGAGAGGAGAAUUGCUUGAACCUGGGUGGUGGAGAGUGCAGUGAGCUGGGACUGCACCACUGCACUCUCACCUGGGCAACAGAGUAAGACUCCAUCUCAU
ensembl:misc_RNA Metazoa_SRP Metazoan signal recognition particle RNA